ACUAAUUAAUUAAUCAAUCAAUUAUUUAUGGUGCUGAGCACGGGACUUCAUGCACGCUAGGCAAGCACUGUACCACUGCGCUACAUCCCCAGGAGGAGGAGGAAGGAGGAAAGCCUGGAGAGGGGUCAUAAGUCCUGGUUUUGGCCUUUAUGUAUCUACUUUUGGUAAGCUUGAAAAGGCUUCAAAGGAAACAGGACACACAGAGGCAGAGGUACACAGUUUGGUACAUGCCGAACAUGAUGGGUGGGGAGAGGUGCAAGCAUUUGGGUUCAAUCCCAAGCAGAAAGGAAGGAAGGAAGAAGGGAGAGAGGGAGGGAAGGACUGAAGGAAACAAGAAAAGACAAAAGAAGGAGGUAGAAAUAAGGACAGUGAACUAACAGUGGAGGAGGUUUCAUGUAAAACCAGCACUGUGGGGACAGUGUGGCUGGAGCGGAGGAUUUUCUGCCUGGCCCUUGGCCUCCCCACCCUGUGGGCCCUUGGCAAGUGGACCAAGACCUUGGCAAGAUAGGUUGGUGUUUACAAAAGUGAGUCUUCGUGGUAUCUCUCAGCCACUCAAGAACCAUCUGGCUUAACUUUUAUUAUGUGAGGGGGAUCAAGGAAGUCGUUUAGUGAUUCUAAGUCACGGGGCACGGGGCAGACUGCUGGCCACAAGGUGUCCAGCAGUUACACGUAAACCGCUUGGACUACCAGCCUUGGCCUGUCACCGGCCGGGCGCACACUCCCCUCUCCUCUCAGUCCAGCAUGAUAGCCUUUGCUGUUUAGGUCUGUAUUUCAUAAUUCCAAAAUCGUAAGAUGAUCUUCUUUUAGGUUCCUUUUAAAGUAGAAAAUGACUGCCCUGGGGUUAAUCCCCUAGGGCUGGAGUUGGACAGUGUCUCUGUGAGGUGUGGGAAGGAGGGGACCAGCUCAGGACUCGAUUCCACAGGAAGCUCAGGCCAGGCACUGGCGUGGCACUGGCGCCCUGGUGCCCUUCCUCAGCAGCCAUCCUGUGCAAGGCUGUGCCUGGCCUGGGCUGGACGUGUCUUCCCCACCUGAUUUCCUUGGAGCUGAGCACCCAGUGGGGUGGAGAGGGUGGCCAGGGACUCACCAGGGACAGCGAGGGGCCCACUUUGGCUUGGUCUGCUCCCCUUAGACACCAGCGAUGAUUGUUCCAUCCAGAGACUGUUCUGUUCCCCGUUGUCACUUCCAAUCCAAUCUCUCUUACGUGAAAAGGCUUCCACUAAAAGUUUUCAUGUUUCUUACAUGACAUAUACAAGUUCUAGGUGAUUCCUCCACCCCUGGUUACUUUCUUUUCGAUACCUUGAUGACAGUUUGCUAAUUGAUUGUUGUCCAGAAGAUUUUCUUGUCCCAGAAACCAAUCAAACCAAAAGGUCCACGUUUUCCUGCUUUUCUAGGUGUCUUAGAGAAACACUCACCACUCUCCAGGCCCUUUCUUGGCAGCAGAGCUGCCUAGUACUUCCGGGGCCAAGCUGCCUUUCGUGAUAGAGGCAGCAUGGCAGAUGGGUGGACCCUGGAUAGUAUAGCCAGACUGCAUUCCCCGCGGGUUUCCUAUACUGAAACUCCAGAGGCUCCCUCUGGCUGCAGUUACCUAGGUGAUAACCUCCCUGCACUCCUGCGGGACACGCAGCACGAAAGCAAGAUUUUCAGGCCCUUUCUGCUGUACACAGGAAGACUCAUGUGGCCAUCGGCUUCUUCCUGAGCAGAGGGUGGGGUCUGGGACCGUUCUGCAACACAUGGCAGCUCCUUCCUCUGGCCGGGAUCCUUUCCCCAUGUGGUCCACACCCGAGAGCUGUUGCUGUCUUCUUUCUUAGAGAAGUUCUAGCCAGGACGGGCACCCAGGCUCCUCAGUGGCCGCUUUCUCUAGCACAGAGUAGGACACCACCUUGAUGGUGCCUUGGAGGUGAAACUGAAUUCCAUGCUCAGGUCCGUCCUGAGUGCCUCUGGGCACCCAGGUGAGCGCCCCUCCCACUCGCAGUGCCUCGCAGGAAAACCUCAAACACACUUCAACAUUGAAGCGGCCUCUGAGGGCGGAACCGAAAUCUCUGUGGUUUCAUCAGCGUAAUUCCUGCAACGGGAAGAUUUUUUUCCCUUUCAUAAGUUUCUUCCCCUUUCACGUUUUUUUCAGCUGAAAUCCUUUUCCAAGUUCCAUUGUUGCAGAGUAGGUUAUCUGUAGGUCAGCGGGUUCACAGGUUGUUUGGAUUUCCUAAAAUUGUGCUUUUGCCUACACGUGGCGUGCGAGAUUGCGGCCGGGCCCUGGGUGAGCCAUGCACCCGGGGUUGUCGCCCCUUCCGGUCCCCUCUGUGUGCAGUGAAGGUGGCGGCUCCCUGGGACCCAAGACUAAAAGCAGCAGACGCCAGUCCUGGACUUCUGGCAUUUGUGUACAAUCCUGCACUCUUCAGGACUCUCUUUCUCUCUCUCUCUUUCUCUCUCUCUCUCUCUCUCUCUCUCUCUCUCUCUCUCUCUCUCUGUCUUUUCUCUCUCCCUGCCCCCACCCGGCUUUCUUUUUUUUCCUCUUUCAAGCAUUUUUCCAUGACCUUCAUGGGGCCAGCUACAUUUUGCAAUACUUUUCCUUUUGAUGCCUAAUUUUCCAGAUAUGGUAUGCAGCUGACUUUUGGUUCAGAUGGUCAGGCCAUAUAAUGCCAGAUGCAAAUGCAGAUGUUUACAAGUUCAUAGAAUAGAAGAUACAAGUGUCCUGACACUCCAGUGUGUCUUGUGAAGCCUCCUUUUUCUAUUUAGAGAGAAGAGUGGGAUAAAAACAUCCUAACAACCCAGAUAUGCUUAAUUUCCUGCUUGAACAGUUAUGCUGCAAAGGCGCUUGUUUGCAUAUGAAAUUGAAUGGUGUGAUAACUUGGGGAAACUUUGAUCUGAAAAGCAUUUUCCUUUACAGUGCUCAUGCUGGGCUUGGUAAGAGUGCAUUGCACACAGGUUUAUCAAUAGGGAAGGGUUCAUCCAUGAACAGCACAGUUUAAAAUGGAGGUGUCUCAGUCAUGGUGGGAAUUACUCCUAAACUUCAUUCUGAAAAUGGUAUUUUAAAAGCUUAUCUAGUUUUCUCCUCAUUAAGAGUAAAAACACUAAAGUUAAAGAACUUUUUGAGUUACUAGUCAGAAAAUAAGCCUUAAAAUUGCAUCCUUGGGUCUGAUGCUUCCCAUGGGAUGAAAUACUUCUUAUCAUGAAUCCAUAGAUGUGUUUUGCUUCAGACUGGAUUUUUUUUUUUUUUUUUUUUGGUGUUUUUCGUUUUUAUCGGUACCAGGAAUCGAACUCACAACCACCUACUUGCAAGGCAGGCGCUUAUGCCACUGAGCUAAAUCCCCAGCCCCCCAGACUGGAUUUUUAAGUUUCAGUAUUUUCAUUGUGAUGAUGCUGAUGGAGUCACAAGUUAGCAUUUAAGAAAAUUUCAUGUUAUCAAUACUUAUUUAUUCAGUAGUCACUGUAGUCCAGGAACUUUGCUAGGGGCUAGCUCAUGGGGGACAAAACUAGGGGAGCAGGAAUUGGUGACAGAAUAAGGAGGGUGACGCGGUUCUACACUGUACCCCGAACUUUGUACAUUGAAGACCUGAGCCCCACUUCCUUGGCAUGCAACAAAGCCUGGAGACAGGUUCUUCAAGAGGAAAGGAAGGAAAAGAGUCCUGUCAGGGUCCAGGUCCAGUCUGCCCGGGGUCCUCAUGAUGCACUUUGAGGGACAUCUUGGGAGGACUCAGGGGGAAGACGGGGUCCCAGGAAGAGCCGAUGCCGAGGAUGUAGGCCUCGGCCUUCCAGCCUCCAGGACGAUGAGAAGGUGGACAGGCGGCUGCUAUCUGGACCACCUGCCUGCCGUGCCACCUGAUCCUGUAUGGAGCUCCCCGACGAAGUGGGCGAGAGGAGGAGCAUGUGAGGGCAAUGAGGAAAUGUUAGCCCCUUGACAUUGUGCUGUAGGACCAAGUGGCACGGAGUUUUUGUUUGUUUAUUUGUUUAUUGUUGGUCUUUUUUGAGACAGGGUCUCAUUAUGCAGUUCAGGCUGGCCUUGAGCUCACUUUGCAGCUCAAGUCAAAACGAUCCUCUUGCCUCAGUCUCCUGAGUGCUGGGAUUACAGGCAUGCACCACCAUGCCCAGCUAGUAACACUGAAUUUUAAGAAGCACAUGCAGAAUAAAUAUUCAUGUCUGACCUCCUCGCUUACAGCAAGUGUAAGGGCACACUGUGUCUAUGAGACCUGUUAUUACUGUUAAUAAUCAUUGCUUGCCGGACUCCUGGAACCUGGGGAUGGUGUUAUCUGCUGGACCGUGUCCCCCUAGCUCCAUGUUUAAGGGUGAGGGGAGAGAGUGGGUGCUUGAUACUAACCCCAACCAGAGUCAUCCUCGCAGUGGAAAGAUCCUGUCCUGAGCCAGAAGCGUUGUUCCUGAGCAGGAGCGAGGCGAGUGCGGCCUCAUGAACAUUAUUCACCGCCUCCAUUCUCAUUGGGAAGAAGCCAAGCUCUGCUCGGCAGUCACAUUUUUUUUCCCUGUCCCUGAAUAGUGCUGACUCAUGGGACAAGGCUGGGGUCUGGCUGUCCCCCUGGCGAUCACGGCCCAUGCAUGGUGCUGGUUCGCAGGGGGGGUUUGCUUCUUCAGAAUCCAGCCAUUUAAAAUGGGUUUCCAGCUGUCUUGGAUACACAUGUGGGUGUGCAACUGCUCAGCCACCUCCUGACUGUCUGUCGUCAUGAGGCAUGGUACACACUGCUCUGUAGAGCGCUGCACCACGUUACAUUCCCACCAGCAAGGCAGGAGGGGUCCCGCUCCUCCAGGUCUUCACCAGCACUAGGAUAUCACCAGGUAGCCCAUUCUGGCCUUGAAAUCACUGUGGAGCCCAGCGUGGCCUCACCUCAUGGUGAGCUUCCUGCCUCAGCUUCCUGGGUGCUGUGCCGCCAUGCCUGGCUUUAGUCACGCCUGCUCGCCUCCCUUCUCCCUGAGCCAGGGAGCACUUUCCCAGGAGCUGUGCUAUUCUCCCUGGCUCACUCGUGUCUAUACAGUUAUAUCUGCGGUGUGCUUAACGUUGUGCACUGUACUAUCCUCCUGAGGGCCACAGCAGGCUGCCAUGCGCCCACAUCAGCGCCCAGCUCCAUCCCCCUGCAUGAGUGGGAAGCUGCUGCAGACCUAUGAUGCCUGCUGGUCUCCUGGACUCCUCACUGGAGGCCCUCCCUGUGGCUCAAACCCAGGCACCUGAGGGCCACCUCCAUCUGAAGGCAACAACGCAAGCCUUCCUCAGCGUGUUCCCGCUGGUCAGAAACUGCUGUCUGUCGCUAAUGUUGCCCAGAUGCCCCAUGCCGUUCAGUGACCCCACACCUGCCCCUCCAAGCCUGUUGCCCUGCUCCACCCUGACCCCCUGUCUUAUGGGUUUGGAGCAUUCUGACUCUGUGGGACCACAGUCACAGGCUCCAGCACUGUCACCAGCUGUGUCCCCUUCCAAGAUGGUCACUUGUCUCUCAGGACCAGCGGCAGCCCUCUGCCCAGCCCUUGUCCUGGGCUCCCACGAUGGUCCAGCUGCAGACAGCGUCCACGUGCCCAGCUGCCUCUCACCCUCUGCCCACUUCCUCUCCCUCGUGGCAGCUCCUGGAUGUGCUCUGGGCUUGUGCCGCCCACUGUGCAUACUGUCCCCACUGCCUGGAGGGUGUCCCUUCCCUGCCCUGGUGCUGCAAUUCCAGCUCAUUCGGGUUUAGUGAAUGCCGCUUUCCCUGCCUAAAGAGCCCACACAGGCCCCUCGGUGCCCACUGCCCACACAGCCUCCGGGUAUCUCUCUCAGAAGCCCCAGCUCGAGGCCUGUGGGGCCGGGCCUGGGCUGGCCCUUGAGCCUUUGCUCUCCCCCGUGCUGUCUCAACCUUUAUUUCCUCCUCCUACAAUCCAACUGCAGCACCCUUAUUUUACUGAAAUUAUGUGAUAGGCCAAAAAAGCCUCAGAUACAAAACACACAUGAUAUUCAUUAUUGUUAAAACAUUCAAGGAGCUCUGAGAGUGCAAUACCGAGGAAAGAAAUAGUCUGGCUGGAAAACAAGCAGAGGACCUGAAAAGACACGUCUUAGCAGAAGAGUUGAGGAUGACCCACGGAUAUCGGGAAAGACGCUCAGCACGGCGAAUCAUCAGAGAGACGCAUGUCAAGCCACCCUGGGUCAUCUCCUCCCACCUGGUAGGAUGGUGACGCCCGCAGGCCAGGACACUGGCAGAGGGGCAGGAGAGGGAGCUCUGGCCCACUGCUGGUCGGAAGCCAGCAGGCCCAGCCGCGAUGGAAAGGAUGGGGAGUCUCCUGAAUUAAGGACAGAGCUAUGGUGUGACCCAGCAGUCGACUGCUGCGUGGACCUCUAAAGAAAGUGACCUGUGUGUGGCAGAGACGCUAUAUACUCUUGCGUUCCCUGCAGCAUUUGUCACCCACAAUAGUCAAGAUAUGCAGGGCCCCUUCAGUGGGAAGCCGGGAAAGAAAGCGGGCAUAUAUGUGCAAUGCAAUAGUAGACAACCUUUAAAAAGAAUAUUUGGAUAAGUAAAGUAAGCCAGACACAAAAGACAAACAUUGGUACUCACUUAGAGGCAGUGUGGCAGGGUGGU